rnacentral:tRNA from 1 species
GCCGCUUUAGCUCAGUUGGUAGAGCGCAUCCAUGGUAAGGAUGAGGUCAACGGUUCAAGCCCGUUAAGUGGCU